rnacentral:rRNA from 1 species
CGCUCUUUGUAUUUUAUAAAUAAAGAGUCGUGCCUGCCCAGUGAGUAUUUAAACGGCCGCAGUACCCUGACUGUGCAAAGGUAGCAUAAUCAUUUGCCUUUUAAUUGAAGGCUGGAAUGAAUGGCUUGACGAAGUUCUGCUGUCUUUUUUUUAUUAAAUAGAAUUUAAUCUUUAGGUGAAGAAGCCUAAAUAUGAUUGAAAGACGAGAAGACCCUGUCGAACUUAAAAGUAAGGUCUAAAUUGUUUUAUUUUUAGAAUAAAAGUUUUUUAAUUUAUUUUUUGUUGGGGCGACAAAAGAACAAAUAUAGCUUCUUUAAAUUUAAUAAACUGUUAAGUUCUUAUGAUCCAUAAAAUUGAAUGAAUUAAGACAAGUUACCGCAGGGAUAACAGCGUUAUUUUUCUGGAGAGCUCAAAUUGAAGGAAAAGAUUGCGACCUCGAUGUUGGAUUAGAAUACCUAAUAGGUGUAGAAGCUUAUUGACGGAGGUCUGUUCGACCUUUAAAUUUCU